rnacentral:misc_RNA from 1 species
GUGAAUCAUCGAAUUUUUGAACGCAAAUUGCACUCUCCUCGGAGAGUAUGCCUGUUUGAGGGUCAGCCUAUAUAAAAUCGUCAUCGUUGCUGUUUCGUGGUGGCGUUCGCCGGCCAUUGGGUCAUCUUUAACCUUUUGGUUUUAAGCGACUUACAAUUUUCUUUUUGGUUCCAUGAACGUUUCUAAGUUUUAUUUCUUUACACGUUUAAGGUAUCGAUUUUUAUUAGACGUGACCAUCAUAUCGGAUUGCGCA